rnacentral:rRNA from 2 species
CUAACGGCUGAACCAGCAACUUGCAGGAAUGAGAGUUAAUAUAAUAAGUUAUUAACUUGCUUGACUAGGUCUUAUAAAGUUCUGGAUAAAGCUUAUUAUGAAAACUUUAUAUCCAUAGGUCUCGACCAAAUCUUGUGCCAGCAGUCGCGGUAAGACAAGGGAGACGAGUGUUAUUCAUCUUUAACAGGUAUAUAGGGUACCUAGACGGUGUGCAAUGGCUUAAAUAAGUACCUGGUACACUUGAGUUUGAUAUGUGAGAGGAAUAUGUCGGAAUUGUUGGAGGAAAGAUGAAAUUUGUUAAUACCAAUAGGACUGAUAACGGCGAAGGCAAACCUCUAUGUACAUGUACUUGCUAUUUCUGUUUGUUUAUUUUUUUUUCAUUAGAAAAAAAAAGAAACUAAAAAAAACAGAAAUUUCUCUUAUAUCUGAAAAUAUCAGAUAGAUAAAGAGGAAAAGAGCAAUGUACUAUAACUGACGUUGAGGGACGAAGGCUCAGAAAGUGAAGAGGAUUAGAUACCCCCGUAACCUGGGCAGACAAUGAUGAGUGCCAUAGGUUGGCUUUAAGGCGGAACUAUAAAUGAAAGUGGAAGCACUCCACCUCAAGAGUAAUGUGGCAACGCAGGAACUGAAAUCAUUAGACCGUUUCUGAAACCAGUAGUGAAGU